UACGUAGGGUGCGAGCGUUAAUCGGAAUUACUGGGCGUAAAGCGUGCGCAGGCGGUUCGUUGUGUCGGUGGUGAAAUCCCCGGGCUUAACCUGGGAAUGGCCAUGGAAACUGGCGAACUGGAGUGCGGCAGAGGGAAGCGGAAUUCCCGGUGUAGUGGUGAAAUGCGUAGAUAUCGGGAGGAACACCAGUGGCGAAGGCGGCUUCCUGGCCUGUUCUUGACGCUGAGGCGCGAAAGCUAGGGGAGCAAACGGG
rnacentral:rRNA from 1 species